CUACGGGCGGCACCAGUGGGGAAUAUUGGACAAUGGGGGAAACCCUGAUCCAGCAAUGCCGCGUGUGUGAAGAAGGCCUGCGGGUUGUAAAGCACUUUCGGUUGGGAGGACUGCUUCUAGCACUAAUAUUGUUGGAAGUUGACGUUACCUUCAGAAGAAGCACCGGCUAACUCCGUGCCAGCAGCCGCGGUAAUACGGAGGUGCAAGCGUUAAUCGGAAUUACUGGGCGUAAAGCGCGCGUAGGCGGCUAGAUCAGUCGGGUGUGAAAGCCCCGGGCUUAACCUGGGAACGGCAUCCGAUACUGGCUAGCUUGAGUACAGGAGAGGAGAGUGGAAUUCCACAUGUAGCGGUGAAAUGCGUAGAUAUGUGGAGGAACACCAAUGGCGAAGGCAGCUCUCUGGCCUGAUACUGACGCUGAGGUGCGAAAGCGUGGGGAGCAAACAGGAUUAGAUACCCUCGUAGUC
rnacentral:rRNA from 1 species